UAACGUCGGGAGGGGAGGAGAGAGAGUCUCAGAGUCAGAGAGGGGAAAGAAACUGUCUGAGUUCGUUGCUUGUGUUGCUUGCACUCUCUUUCCUCCACCCGGGCGGUUUUCCUCCUUUUCCCCGAUCCCCUUCCCUUCCCUCCCUCUCCCUCUUCCUCUUCACCAUUCCACCCAUCUCGUCUGCUGGAUCGAGCGAUCAAUCGGUUGCCCGGCGCCAGUCCUCGUCCAUCUCGUCUUCGGCUCGAUUGCAGCCAGCCAGAGCCAGGUGGUGCGCCGUGCCGAGCGACCAGGUCGGAUUGGCAUCCAGCUCGAUCUCCCCAAAUCGAUCCAUGGGGCGGCUGCUGCUGGUGAGCCUGCCAGCGACGGGCGCCGUCAUCUACCGCUGCAAGCACUGCGAUACGCCCCUCGCCUACGGCACCGACAUCAUAUCCAAGAUGUUCCGCUGCAAGAACGGCAAAGCGUACCUGUUCGGCAAGAUGGUGAACGUGAACGUCGGUGAGAAGGACGACCGGAUGAUGACGACGGGGAUGCACACCGUGUGCGACAUCUUCUGCGUCGCCUGCGGAUCCAUCCUGGGCUGGAAGUACCUGGCCGCCGUCGAAAAGGCCCAGCGCUACAAGGAAGGCAAGUUCAUCCUCGACAGGGGCGUGGUGGUGGCGGCAAGUCCUGGUGGUGGAGCUGGUGCUGGUGCUGCCCAUGGGAUGUGGCCGGACCACCAGCAGCAGACGAGCGGCGACGAUGACGGCGACGACCAGGACAGCGAUGAAGAAUCUUCUGACCACCAGGAUUAAUUGAUCGAUCGAUUCAAUCAUUGAUUCCUGAGCAUGCAUCCAUCCAUCCAUGCUUAUUGUGACUCUGCUGUUGACAUGUCAAACUGGGCAAUGCAAGCUCUGUUUCUGUUGGUUCAAUUCAGCACCGCUCUGCUGGGCUACCACUGACUGCAUCUCUUCUUCGUCAGAGCAACACGCGCGCGCACACACCACUUGUUCCAGUCUCCACUCUCACUUGUCCUCACAUUGUCUGAAUGAACUGAACAAAACAAGCAGGAUUCGUCA